UCAUAACCACUCGACCAAAGUGCC
rnacentral:siRNA from 1 species